UUGUGUAUUGUUGUGUAUUUUGUUGUAGGUGCUACAGAAUCUGAUUCCACCAACAUGUGCUUUCAACCCCUAGCUCUGCACAAUAUGAAGUUAAGUUGGCCAAAUAUUUACAAGCUGAUGGCUAAGACAGCUCAAUUUAGAGUAAGCAUGGUAUAAACAUUAAUUGGGUAGUGUUUGUAUGGUUUGUGUUGUGGUGUUACAGGUGGUUAGAGGUAGCCUGAGGACCACAGAGUACCUUCCAGACCAAUUUAGUCUACCCCUCUUCUCUUCUUACCUUUUCUUUUUGUACAACUCAGGUUAUCUGGAAUCAUUCCACGGUGUCCUGCUGAAAAAUACCCCAAAACGGCGGCAUUUUGAGUGCACAAGCACGAGGGAGCGGACACAGUUAUGGAGCACAAUGGGACAGAAACCAGCAAGUGACACUGAAAGGUCUCUAUUGGUGACAAGGGGAUUCUCUCUACCACAUGGGAAUGCCUCCGUGGACAUCAUCAGUGUAGCCAUGCAACCAAUUUUGGCAGUUCCCAAUAUCGGCCGUACAGAUGUGGAGUGCGAGUGGAGGAAGCCAACCAUGCCCAACCAGGUGCAGUCAGUUAGUGAAGGACCUGCACCCGGCUGAGGACUACAACCCUCUGUCCCGAGAGCCCACAGAGGAGGAUCUUCAGUGGCUAAGGAACCGUCUCCGUGGCAGGUUCAGUGGAAUAUCAUGUUUCCUUGAACCUGAGCCAGAACAACCUCUACCCUCUCUGUCAUCAUUGUCUGUACCGGACAUUGUUAAAAAACAAGGGCACCUGAGGCAUGGAGGCAUCCUGGCUGGCAUGAUGCUGUCGGUGGAGAAGCAGGAGGCUAUAGGGCAGAUAACAGUUGGACAGAGCACCAACCCCAACUGGCACACCCAGAGGAAAGGGAGGUUGACGGCCAGCAAUUAUGGAACAGUGGUUAGGGCCAAGCGUGUUACUGCGUCGCUGCUAAAAAGGGUCCUUAGAUCAGUCGUUGGAUGAGGUGUUGUCUGUAAAGUGGGGCACAGAUAAUGAAGAGGAGGGCACCAGACCAUCCAGUGAGGCAUCAAGGCAAAUGACCACAUAGAUGGAUGUGCAGGAGUCAGGGAUCACAGGGUCUUGGAUCCGGUGUGCCUUGCCAGAUGGUCUGGUGGACAACACAGCAGUGGUGGAUUUCAAGUGUCCCUAUGGUGGAAGGUACCUUACCAUUGAAGAGGCAGUAAAGUCAAAGAAUUUCUAUUUCAAGGACGGAGGGUCUUACAGCCUCUGAAGACUGGCAUUACUGGCACCAGGUCCAAGGUCAGCUCCACAUCACUGGAAGGGACACCUGCUUCUUCGUUGUGUGUACCACCACAUCUGACAGACUCAUAUUGCUCCUCUUGUCAGUACCCGUUUUCAGGGAAGACAAUGGUCCAAAAAUGUUCCACAUAGUUCAUACACACACACACUAGGCUCCCAGACUAGGUUAUAUUCCAUACAAGUUUUGCUCAAAGCAUCCAACUAAAGUAAUGCAGUUAACGUAAGUUCAAUCACAAAAGCUGGUCUGAGUGCAUCUCAGUUUCAUUCAGUAGUACAGAACAAUUCACAUUGUAUUCUAUCAUGGGCACAGUGGGAAUUUAUAUCUGUGAUGAUUAAAUGAUGUCUUUCCCUCAGAGUGAGAGAGUACAUCACAUCCAG